rnacentral:pre_miRNA from 1 species
GGCAGCAAGAAAAAUGAGGGACUUUCAGGGGCAGCUGUGUUUUACUAACCCAGUCAUAAUGCCCCUAAAAAUCCUUAUUGUUCUUGCAAUGGUCA